GACGAACGCUGGCGGCGCGCUUAACACAUGCAAGUCGAGCGAGAACCGGUCCUUCGGGACCGGGGAAAGCGGCGAACGGGUGAGUAACACGUGGGUAAUCUGCCCUCGGUUUCGGGAUAGCCCGGGGAAACCCGGAUUAAUACCGAAUGGCCCUUUCGGUCUUCGGAUUGAAAGGAAAAGGUAGCUUCGGCCUCCGACCGAGGAUGAGCCCGCGGCGGAUUAGCUUGUUGGUGGGGUAACGGCCUACCAAGGCGACGAUCCGUAGCUGGUCUGAGGGGACGAUCAGCCACACUGGGACUGAGACACGGCCCAGACUCCUACGGGAGGCAGCAGUGGGGAAUCUUGCGCAAUGGGCGAAAGCCUGACGCAGCGACGCCGCGUGCGGGAAGAAGGCCUUCGGGUUGUAAACCGCUUUCAGGUGGGACGAAGCCACUCGGGUGAAUAGCCCAGAGGGUGACGGUACCUCCAGAAGAAGUCCCGGCUAACUACGUGCCAGCCGCCGCAGUAA
rnacentral:rRNA from 1 species